rnacentral:rRNA from 1 species
ACCCUACGGGAGGCAGCAGUGGGGAAUAUUGCACAAUGGGCGCAAGCCUGAUGCAGCCAUGCCGCGUGUGUGAAGAAGGCCUUCGGGUUGUAAAGCACUUUCAGUUGUGAGGAAGGUGGUGUCGUUAAUAGCGGCAUCAUUUGACGUUAGCUGCAGAAGAAGCACCGGCUAACUCCGUGCCAGCAGCCGCGGUAAUACGGAGGGUGCGAGCGUUAAUCGGAAUUACUGGGCGUAAAGCGCAUGCAGGUGGUUUGUUAAGUCAGAUGUGAAAGCCCGGGGCUCAACCUCGGAAUUGCAUUUGAAACUGGCAAACUAGAGUACUGUAGAGGGGGGUAGAAUUUCAGGUGUAGCGGUGAAAUGCGUAGAGAUCUGAAGGAAUACCGGUGGCGAAGGCGGCCCCCUGGACAGAUACUGACACUCAGAUGCGAAAGCGUGGGGAGCAAACAGGAUUAGAUACCCUGGGAGCGUAG